ACCAGGCUGGAGGCAGGAGCUGAGCUAAGAGAUAACAGCCCGCCAGCCCAUGCAGAAGGACUGCUGAAGCUCCAGGAGCUGCAUCUGCCUGGACUGAGUGCUGGAGGCAUCAGGGUUGAUGCCAGCGGCCUCUGCGCUGUGACUUCCCAAACGAAACACCUGAGAGACGAGUCUUCUCAAGAAAGGAGAUCAGACCGCAGAAUGGAGAUGGCUGCUUCCUGGCCGCUUCCGGCUUUCUCCUCUCUAGCUCCGUGGAAGUCUCCUAUGCUCCCCAGAGCCACCGUGGGACAUCCGUAGGACAUCGCCUUCUAUUUUUUCUUGAUUUAGGAGGUACAGUUAAAUACACAGUAAGAGAACAGUGGCCCUGAGAGAAGUGCAGUACUGCCCCGCAGUCUUGCAGUCUUUUCAACCCAGCCCAGCCCGCACUCCCUGCAAGACCCUGAAACCCUGAAUCUCCUGACUGCCUGCGCUGGGAUUACAGGCGCACACCACUAUGCCUGGUUAGGCGGUGCUGGAAAUGGUACCCAAAGAUUUUACAUGACAGGCAAGCACUCUACUGAGCUAUGUCCCCAAUCCCUUACUCUGUUUCUUGUAUUUUAAAAAGGGGUCAAUUAUUUAACAAGAUCUACUGCAUUAAUAUUUUUCUCAUUCUUUCACUCUGAUUUUAUAUCAUGCAUAUAUCAUACACACACACAUAUAUACACACACUCAUACUUUUAUCCUAUUUAAAAUUUUCUUUUUUAUUAAGGUAUUUUUACAAUUUGGGGGGGCUCUUGAAAGGCAGGGUCUCCCACACUGGCCUCAAACUCCAAUACCCCCAGCCUCAGCCUCCUGGAUGCUGAAAUUAAAAGCAUAGGCCACAACACCUUCUAUUUCCUAAAGAGUGGAAGCAAUUGUGAACUUUUUUUCUUGGUAUAAUCUUUAGAUUUUUUUUUAAAUUAGAUUCUAUUAUUUUGUGUGUGAGUGUUUUGCCUGCCUAUCUGUAUUACAGUGUUCCGUGUGCAUCCUUGGUACCCUGGAAUUGGAGUUAUGGAUGUUUGUGAACCACUGUGUGGGUGCUGGGAAUCAAACCCCAGUGCUCUGUAGGAGCAGCCAGUGCUUUCAACCUCUAGUCGUUUCUCCAGCCCCCAGGAUCCAGUCUUGCCUUUGUGACAUUUGUUUUCAUCUCUAUUGUAUCUUAUUCAUUUUUUCAUCAGAAUUUCACUAAACAGGCAAGGCAGGUUUCUAACAGCCUCUUGCCAAUACUUCCAGGCAUGACUACCAAAUUUGUAACAUUUUGUGUACUUACGUAUUAGUUGUAUAUAAUACCUUUAAUAUUUAAGUAAACUUGUAUUUUCCUCCUUUAUGUUAAGUCGGACAACUUACUACCCCCCUGUCUCUUUUCCCUGCCCUGCUCAAUCUUUCUUCCUGAGUUCUGGGAGUAAAGGUAUACAUAUGUCACCA